rnacentral:misc_RNA from 1 species
GGGGCUUUUCUGAGACGACACGCCAUUGGGAUAGCAAGAAAAGGUUCAAUAGGUUUUGUCAAAAAGGGAGGAGAUCCUAGUAUAACAUACAUUUGCUAAAUAUUGACAGGUGCAAAGUAAGCAAUCCCUUGGAUAUAAAACAAUUGGAAGUCUAUGUUGUCUUCCCAAGCAUCCUUUCUUGCUUAGAAGCAGCUUGGAAAUGGAUAUUUACACUAGAUAAUUUGAUGAAAAGGGGAAGAUGAUUGACAAAUGGAUGGUAUCCUCCUGAGAGUUAAGAUGAAUCAGAGAAUCACUUGCUCAACAGUGCAACUUUUAGUAUUUGGCCUACUCAUUUAGAAUACAUUAAUGGAUCAUAUGAAAAUUUAGAAAAAGAGUUCCAUGCUUGGAGGGUUCUUUUCACAAAGAUGCAACGGAGGAGACAAGCAAUUCCUUUGACAAUUUUGUAAAGAAAAUCAUAGUAGAGAAACAUCGAUGGAUAACUUAAAGAUAGUCAGAUGCAAACAAUUCACUGAUAUUUUAAAGGAGAACUUCCUUUUUUGAAUAUAUUUCUUUCGAAAACUGCAUGGAUGAAGUUGUUUAUAAGAUAGAUUUCCCAUCGUAAACCACUGGUAUUCAUGGGUGGCACCGCAUUAGAUGCCAGUCUAUAAGCUUUAUUUUUUAUUUUUAGAAAAAGGAAACAUAUGGCUAUGCAACUAGAUUGGAAUCAAGGCUUAACUGAGCUGAGGUUCCAUACGUAGUAUUUAGCACCAAUAGUGAGCUCCCUAAACCCUCCUUGAAACAUAGUCAUACCACCUUUUGGGGCAUAAUUUUGCCAAACAACUUCUGGCAUUCCCAAAUAUUGGACCCAGCUUGCUCCGUUGGUACAAUGGAGAGGUUACCAUCCUUCCGGUGCAAUGGUCAUUGUUUACAAAGUAUGUAUUAGCAAGAAAAUAAAUGAUUUCAUAAAGGUGUCAGCAAAAAUACUCGUUGCUUUUCACUUUCUUGUUUAGGUGUCUCAUUUCAAUUAUAUUAAUGCUUUAUUUUAUUGCCUCCCUCAUCUAUCAUAUAUUUCGGACAUGAUUAUACCAUGGUGUAAUGAUUAUAUUCAUUACAACCAAACUAAGCGUCUUUGGUUAAAAAAUAAAUAAAA